GGGGGUUCGGUGGGCAAAAGCAGGCGGGCUCCGAAACCACCAGGACACGGGAAGGGACCUGACGCAAGGGCAGGAGGUACCCAGUGACCUCCUGGGCAGCGCUGAGCUGGGCAGUGCUAUCUCUGAGCUGUUUGUGACCCACGAGGGCCUCAGCUGCCCAGCUCCUGAGCAAAGUUCCCUUAUUCCAGAAUCCCUUCUCACCUGGAGGCGGGAGCGAGGGGCGAGGCCAGGAACCCAUGACGGAUCCCGCGGCCCCCAGGAUGACCCCGUAACCUUCAGAUCUGAUCCCAAGACCCCUCACCGGUAGCGUGUGACCUUAGAAUCCCUCUGUAAUUGACUCUGGCCCUUCACCGAUUCCCCCCACCCCUCCCCCAGCUGACCGUGUGGCCCUCAGCUAUGACCCCGAGAGGCUCUUCCCAACGCCUCCCUGCCACACCCUGAAAGUCCUCUAUAAUCGCUCCAUUGACGCCCGCCCCCACUGAAAAUGUCCCCCUUACGAACCCUGUAACCCCACUGCUGACAUGAUGAUAAAAAAUGCUGACCCAGGAUCCCAAACACUGACUCCACUGCCCAGUAGACAGGGUCAUGUCCCAAUCCUUCUCUGGCCCUAUCAGCAGCCUCCCCCACCCUCCCCACCCCAUCAGCAUCCACUCCUUUGCAACCUGGGUAGCCGUCCCUGUUCACUCUUGGCCCCACGGCGUGGAGUGUCCCAGCAACUUCUGGGACUCCUGGCCCCUCUGUCCUGUCUUCCCUACCUAGGCCCUGGGCUCUCAGUGAGUACCCCCCCCCCGCGCCCCCCCCCCCCCCGUUGAAUGAAUGAAUGAAGGAUGGAUGGAAUGAAUGAAUACAGGUGGUCCCAGGAUACCCCACCUUCAGGCAGACUCCGCUCUUACCCCGGCGCUGGUCCUGCUGCCUGGUGAGAGCCCCGGCUCUGUCCUGCAGGGCCAGGAUGCAGGUUCGGCUGCAGGCCAGGCUCCGUGGCCCUGAUCCGGUCCGGCCUCUGCGCUCUGGGCCGCUGGGAGCUUGCCGCCCCCUCCCGGCAGCGACGUCGGGCCGCGCCUCUUCCCGGGCUCGCUAGGGCCCCGGCGACGGCGGCGUGGAUCCCUCGAGGGAAAGUGAGCUGCUCCUGGCCGGCCCGCCCUCUCCCCGCCCCCGGCGGCCCAGUUUCCUCCCUCUCACCCCCGGGCCGCGCCGGAGGAUGCCGGGCCGGCACAGAUAAGGCCCUGGCCGACUGGCUGCGCCUGAUAAGGAGCCGGGCUGACCCCGGAGGAAACCGGCGGGCGGGGAGCUCCGAGCUGGGGCCUCACGGCCCCGCCCCCGGCCGGCGACGGACAGGGCCGUCACCCCUCAGGGCCUCACCUUACGUCCUCCCAGGCACUGGAGUGGCCCAGGGUCUCUGAGGACCCCGACCCAGCGCGCCGCUGGGAGUGAGACCGCCUGCCGGGCUUCGCGCCACCCCCACCCCAGACUGGGACACUGGAGGGAAGGUAGUUCUGACAGUCUGCCCUCGCGUGUCCUGCCCGGCCCCAAGAGUCCUGGGCCCCCAGGCCUGCUCUCCACACCACCUUUUCAGGCCCAGGAGGGCCCCCCUCACCCGCGUCCAUCACACUUUGCCUCCAGUGUAUCUGGGGGCCUGCAGGAGCAGCCCAGCACGGAUACUACCACCACCCUCCCAGGAGUCUGGUGAAGCCCCGAGCCAGCCGGCCUCCAACCAUCCCACUGCCCCAGGGAAGCGCGAGGUCAGCUCUGAGCCCCCAAGUUAACAGAUCACCCCAACAAACUAGGUUCUGGGAUUAGGUUCCUUUUAGAGGCGGGGAGGAGGCCAAGGGAAAGGUGUUUGCGGGGGGGCCCCACGGCUACCACGUGGGGGUGGGGAUUCUGCCCUAAGCCUCUCCGUUAACGUUGCUAACCCUCCGUCCCGGAGGGGAGGGGAAGCGGCAGGCCGGCUAGUGCCUCAGUGUGCUCUGUGCUCGACUGAGGGGCCGCGGAGCAGGAAGCACCUGGCCUGGAGCGGAUGCACAAGGCGCCUGGUUCCGGUCCGGCUUCCGCCACCGCGGCCCUGUGGGGAACUCGGCCAGAGAAACCGGGCGGCGACGCGAGGCAGGGUAGGGGCUGGGUGACUGGAGGGCCCGCCUGUGUCUGGGUGCACGCCAACAGGGGGGCGGAGGCCCCACGAACACGAGCGCACGGCUGCCGCCCCGUGGCCGGCCGGGGAACUGCAGGCGCCAGCAAAGGGGCGGCGGGCUGAGAGCCUCGUGCUGCGGGACAGACCACCCCGCUGGCCGAGGGUCAGCUCCCACACCCCCAUACAGACAGAACACUCCAGAUGGCAAUACUGACAGCACUUCGGUCGGGCAGGGACAAAUAAACCUCCAGAUGCGUAGCGCUUCCCCAGGGAGUGAAACAAAAAAAGAUGCACAGAGGAACGCACGCUCCAGACACGCAGCUGGAGAGACGGACAGAGCCCCUAAGGCAGAUGGGACAGACAGACCCGCAGGCAGCCUCCCGACUCAGACGAAUGGCAGUCGGAAAGGUGACAUAUCUUUAUUGGCUCAGUCUACACCCGGACCAGCGGCAACGCCAGACCCAGGCGGGUUCUGGUAAGAGGUCUUGGGAUGGUCAGGGGAGGCGGCUGCAGCGGUGUCCUCGGGUGCUGGGGGGCUGUGGGAGUAGCAGCACUGGUCCCCGCGUUGACAGGUGCCCUGGGGGGAGAACGGUGGGUGUGAACCCUGGCUCAGUGCUCAGCAGCCUCUGCUGGGUCCCCUUCCUAGACGGGGAGCUUGCUCGCACGCCCUGCCCGCCCCGGUUCUCCCAGCCCUGCUGCAGGGAGGGCGAUCCCUGGGUGCUGCUAUGUGGGGUGGGGGGGGGUGCCUCACCUCCUUGAAUCUUUUACAGGGAAAGGUCUUGAGCCGGGCAGCCCGCUGGACCGGGUCCUCAGCUGGCUCCUUUCUCUUAUUCUGGUGCACCCUGCGUCUCUCCUCCAUAGCUUCACCUGCGGCCUUGCCCCUGUGCAGGCAGAGGAGUAGCUGGCACCCCAUCCUGCCCCGGACAAGCCCCACCGCCACCCGCGCUCUCACUCACCCUGGCCGGGCACGGGGCCGGGGGCCCCAGUUGGCCUCAGGAUUAGCCUGGAAGCGCUUGAGUCCUCGCUGGCGGGAGCUGGGGUUGGCGUCAUCCCGGACGGCGAAGUUGGCCUGCAGCCUGGGGACGUGGGAGUGGGGGCUGAGGGGCAGGUGCCCUGCAGGUGUGCACGGACCACCUGCCAACCCCCGUGCCGCUCCAGGUGCCUUGGGAAGGCCGUGUCCGCCCGGGUCGGGAUUCUCAUCCAGUUAAUGAACAUGCAUCCAGUGCCCACCACGAGCCUAAGACCUGCCAUUGGUAAGGCCGACGUUCCAGUGUGGGAGACGAUGGGACAGAUCAGAGGUGAGUGAGGUGUAGCGUGUUAGGGCACGGAUGAGAGUUUUGAGAAAAACAGAGCAGGACAAAGGGAAUGGGGAGGCGGGGGAAGGGGCGCAGGUCAGGACAGAGCGGUCAGAGACACCCGAAGGAGGGAGGGAAGAGCCUUCAGGGGACCCGGGAUGGGCACUCCAGGCACAGAGAACAGCCCUUAUAAAGGCCAUAAGGGGGCGCUGCGUCUGGGCAGUGUGAGUGCGGAGGCCCAGUAUGGAGGGAGGUAGGGAGAGUGGGGAUGAAGGGGGAGGGAGGGGACAGGGAGAUGGUUAACAGCUUGCAGGCAGAACUUGGGUUUCUAGUGAGUGAGGUGGGAGUCACAGAGGGUUCUAAACAGAGGGUGGACAGGUCUGACUCCGGUCCUCACUGAUGUACUGUGGCUGCUGUGGGGAGAGGCUGGGGCCGGAGGCGGGGGCGGGGGGGGGGGGGGGGGGGACCAGGGCGGAGCCAGCAGCACUGGUCCAGCUGGGCAGUGAUGGGGCCAGACCAGGGCAGGGGCAGAAGGGGAGGGGAAGCGGGAAGAUUCUGGAUCUCACGUGAAUGAGCAUGUGUCUGUGGAGGGAAGGAUCUGCGUUGUCCCCUGCCCACACGUGAGCUCCCCACGCCCGCGGGCAGCCACACCAGUGCCCGUACCUGGGCUCCACACUGAGAAUACGGAACGCAGGGCUGGCCUCUGACAGCCUUUCCCGCUUCACCGGACACUCCUUUUCCUGGGAGGUAAAGUUCAAAGGUCAGGGGACACUGGGCCUGACCAUGUCCCGGCCUCGCACCCCUAUCUGGUCAGGCCAGCCCUCACCCAGCAGCGCAUGAUGUCCCAGAGGGCUGAGGAGGGGGCAUCCGUCUUCACGGCAUUCUUACAGGCGUGGGAGAGUGAGACCCGGAAGCCGGCAUGGAGGAGGGCUGACCUGGGGACCAAGAGGGGCCGUGGGUGGGGGGCGGGGGGCCGGACCCCAAAGCCAGUGCUGAUCCGUGCGGGUGUGACGCAGCUGAAUGUCUCACGGUGACUACGCGGCCCGGGUAAUGCCAGUGAUCGUGAUGGGGAGACUAUCUCCCUCCCCAAGGCUCAAGGCCUCCACGCUCUCUUCUAAGCACCUGCACGUAGGCCUGUUGGAAAGCUGUUUUACCCAAGACUCUGGCCUUGAGGGGGGCCGGCCUUGCCCCAGGGCACCCGGAGGGUGGGCGAAGGGCGCAGACUCCUUCCGGCCCGGGACUGGGCACUCACCGCAGCUGCAGGAGGCUGGGCGUGCUGCAGCGGAUAGUGCUGCUCAGCUGGUCCAGCGUGUAGUAGAGAGGCACGUCCGGGAGCUCCUGCCGGUGGGGACAGGACGGGCGCGGGGUGGGUGGGGGAAAGGAUGGCUGGGCACAGGCAGGGCCCCCUCCCCGUCACCCCGGGCCCCCACCUCAGUGAUGACGCUCAGGACCCCCUGGAUUCGCUCUGAGGUGUGGAAGCGGCCAGGAUUGGUGCUCACAGCCUGCAGCACGCGCCCCACGAAGUCCAGGUCGUGGAUGGGCUCCGCCCACAGGGGACCGCCAAGCUACAGACACGUGGCGGGGGGGGGGGGGCGAAGGGCCAGGUGUCAAGAGAGCCGGAACCCCAGCGUCCCCCUGGUUUCCCCGGCCCUGCCUCACCUGGUGUCGCUGCCCACAGUGCUCACACUCAGGGCUGAUCGGGGGACCACAGGCCGCAGAGAACUUGACCCUGCGGAGAGAGGGGUGGUUAGGGGGCGGCGACCCUAGGACGCCUCCUUCACCUUCCUCCCCCGGCUCACCCGUGCUCACCGGCCGCCAGAGGCUCCGGACGUUUUGCCAAGGCGCUGGAGGUGAAAGGUCCCGCAGCCCACACACUGGAACACCAGUGCCUGCUUGCUGGAAUGGGGGGGGGGGGGGGCAGGGCUCAUAAGCUCCCCAGCCUGACCGCCGUACCCCAGCUCCUCCCCGUUAGGAGUCCCGUUUCCUCCCGUGCCCCAAAAGGCCCUGUUGCCCCCCUCUGUUCGUUGCCUCCCUUGCUUGCCCCAGACUAACCUGGCUGAGGCCUUGACUUUGGCCUGGCCGGUGAAGACGCGGACAAAAACUCUCACGUAGAAGUCAGCGCUGACGCUGAGCAGUGGCACCACAAAGCGCUGGUAGCAGUUGGCUCGGAGGUCCAGGCUGUGCAGGACGAUCCUCAGGGCCUGAGGGUGGGAGGCGGGCAUCAGCCAGCAGCCCUGCCUCCACGGAGCCUCCCAGCUACCCUGAGGCCACACCAGGUGCUCAUAAGCACAGGCUCAGGGGCGGCUCCCCGGUGUUGCAAGCCCAGGCCCAAGCGUCCUAGCUGUGUGACCCCUGCCGAGUGAAUGCCUCAGUUCCCCCAUCGACGGGAUCACAACAGUCUAUGUCUCUUUAUGGGCCUCCUGGGGGUGCUACGUGGUUACGGAGCGCACAGGCCCGCCAUCCAGGGCAGCAACAUCCGUGUGCCCUGCGCUAUGCGAUGUGCUCCAAGGACCUGUGCUCCGGUUUUCCAGACUGACCUGGUGACAGGGCCCUUACGGAACAAAGCCAGGCCAUCCUCCUUUCCGGCUCCCGCCCUCUCGAAUCCCCACGGCAAUUCACCAUCGUGCGCAUUUCACAGAGGCCAAAAGCGAGGCCCAGAAGGGUGAAAUGAAUCACCCAAAGGCGCCAGCAAAGCUAGGAUUUGAACCCAAAGCCAAACCCACUCCUGAAAACUGUCCUAAAUAACAAUUUUGAACGAGUUGUUAAAACCGAGGGCACUAGGAAAAAUAAUGCGGCCACUGGCUCCCACCCUGGGCGAAACCGCUGCCGUCCGAGUGACCAGAACUGGAAGUCCGGGCUCUAGAACUAUUCUGGCUAUAGACCUGCUUGUCUUUAACAUCUUGGGACGGAUCUGGCCCCGGCUGCCUGGAGGAAGCGAAGCAGCACUGCCAUGUCGGUGCAGGUGACGCACAGCAGACCUGCAAGGAAGGCCUGAGCAGUGAGGAUCCUCCAGAAACCCCGAGCCCUGCUCUGUGCCCAGUGUACUCGUGUCUAACAACAGCAAUAAUAAUAGCCAAUGGUGAUGGGACAUACAUAUGCCUGACAACUGUUUCAAGCCGUUUAUAGAUUAACUCAUUUAAUCAAAUAACCUUCCAGGCAAAUCUUAUGGAAUCAUUAUCGUUUCCUUUGUAGGUGAGGAAAUGCAAAUGCUGUCUUCUCCAAGUUGCCAACCCUAACUGUUAUUUAAAAUUGCAACCUGGGGCGCCUGGGUGGCUCAGUGGGUUGAACAUCCGACUCUUGAUUUUGGCUCAGGUCACGAUCUCACAGUCCAUGAGUUCGAGCCCCGAAUCGGCUCUGCUUGGGAUUCUCUCUCUCCCUGUCUCUCUCUGCCCCUCCCCCGCUCAUGCUCUGUCUCAGUCUCUCUCUCAAAAAUAAACAUUGAAAAACACUUUUAAUAAAAAAUAAAAUAAAAUGAAAUGAAAUAAAAUAAAAUAUAUAAAAUUACAACCCAUCCACCACCUUCCUCCAUCCCCUCCAACCUCCAGUUUUUUCCCAGAGCACUUUUCACCUUUUACUUUUCUUUUUUUUUUCUUUUACUUUUCUUUUUACUUUUUCACCACUUUUACUAUAUAGUUUGCUCAUUGAUCUGGCUGUCACUGUCUUUGUUUCCUAUCAGAUUCUAAUACAGUCCAGAAAACAAAUACUUUUUCUUUAUUUGUGCUCUGUAAAAAGUCAGAUAGUAAAUAUUUUAGGCUCUGUGGGCCACAAACGGUGCCUUUUUUUUUUUUUUCAACCCUUUAAAAAUGCAAAAAACAUGGGAUGCCUGCCUCAGCCGGUUGAGGGUCCAACUCUUGAUUUCGGCUCAGGUCAUGAUCCCAAGGUCGUGGGAUGGAACCCCCACACUGGGCUCUGCGCUGAGCAGGCAGCCUGUUUGGGAUUCUCUCUCUCCCUCUGCCCCUCUCCCCACUCUCCAGCAAGUGCGAGCACUCUCUCAAGAAAAGAAAAGAAAAUGCAAAAAACAUUCUUAGCCGGUGGGCCAAGAAAAACCGACAACCCAGGCUCUGGCCUCCCAGGGGGCCUCCCAGGCUGCUGUUUGCUGGACCCCAGCAUUAGAAUGUGAAUGCCCCAAGGUCAGGGGUUUUGCCUAUUUUGUUUACUGAUGCCUGGCACAUUGCGGAUACUGGCUUUGUGCUGGCUCAUUUGAAUGAAUAAAAGUACCAGAAGUUGAGAAGUUAAGUCUACAAUGGAAACCGUAGCAAAACAAUCACUGUGAUUUAUCACAUCAAUUAAAGAAAGGACAAGAACCACGUGAUCCUCUCAAUAGAUGCAGAGAAAGCAUUUGACAAAAUCCAGCAUCCUUUCUUGAUAAAAACCCUCAAGAAAGUAGGGACAGAAGGAUCAUACGCCGGGAUCAUAAAAGCCAUAUAUGAAAGACCCGCGGCUAACAUCAUCCUCAGUGGGGAAAAACAGAGCUUUCCCCCUAAGGUCAGGACCACGACAGGGAUGUCCACUCUCGCCACUGCUAUUUAACGUAGUAUUGGAGGUCUUAGCCUCAGCAAUCAGACAACACAAAGGAAUAAAAUGCAUCCAAAUCGGCAAGGAGAAGCCAAACUUUCAUACUUUGCAGGAUGACAUGAUACUCUAUAUGGAACACGCAAAAGAUUCCACAAAAAAACUGCUGGACUGAUCCACGAAUUCAGCAAAGUCGCAGGAUAUAAAAUCAAUGCACAGAAAUCAGUUGCAUUUCUAUACACCAAUAGUGAAGCAACAGAGAGAGAAAUCAAGGAAUUGAUCCCAUUUACAACUGCACCAAAAACCACAGAGUAUCUAGGAAUGAACCUAACCAAAGAGGUGAAAAAUCUAUAUGCUGAAAGCUAAAGAAAACUUAUGAAAGAAACUGAAGACACAAAAAAAUGGAAAAAGAUUCCAUGCUCCUGGGUUGGAAGAACAACUAUUGUUAAAAUGUCGAUACUCCCCAAAGGAAUCUACAUAUUCAAUGCAACACCUAUCAAAAUAACACCAGCAUUCUUCACAGAGCUAGAACAAAAAAACCCUAAAAUCUGAAUCAGAAAAGACGCUCAAUAGCCAAAGCAAUCCUGAAAAAGAAAACCAAAGCAGGAGGCAUCACAAUCCCGGACUUCAAGCUGUAUUCCAAAGCUGUAAUCAUCAAGACAGUAUGGUAUUAGCUCAAAAACAGACACUCAGAUCAACGGGACAGAACAGAGAACCCAGAAAUGGACCCACAAACAUAUGGCCAACUAAUCUUCGACAAAGCAGCAAAGACUAUCCAAAGGAAUAAGAACAGUCUCUUCAGCGAAUAGUGCUGGGAAAACUGGACAGCAACAGGCAGAAAAAUGAACCUGGACCACUUUCCUACACUAUACACAAAAAGAAACUCAAAAUGGAUGAAACACCUGAACGUAAGUCAGGAAGCCAUCAAAAUCCUCGAGGAGAAAGCAGGCAAAAACCUCUCUGGCCUCGGCCACAGCAACUUCUUACCCAACAGGUCUCCGGAGGCAAGGGAAACAAAAGCAAAAAUGAACUAUUGGGACCUCAUCAAAAUAAAAAGCCUCUGCACAGCGAAGGAUUCAGCAAAACUAAAAGGCACCCAACAGAAUGGGAGAAGACAUGUGCAAACGACGUAUCAGACAAAGCGUCAGUGUCCAAAAUCUAGAAAGAACUUAUCAAACUCAACACCCCAAAAACAAAUAACCCAGUGAAGAAGUGGGCAAAACACAUGAAUAGACACUUUUCCAAAGAAGACAUCCUGGCUAACAGACACAUGAAGAAAUGCUCAACAUCACUCACCAUCAGGGAAAUACAAAUCGAAACCCCAAUGAGAUAGCACCUCACAUCUGUCAGAAUGGCUCACAUUAACAACUCCGGCAACAACAGAUGUUGAUGAGGAUGCAGAGAAAGAGGAUCUCUUUUGCCCUGCUGGAGGGAAUGCAAACUGCUGCAGCCACUCUGGAAAACAGUGUGGAGGUUCCUCAAAAAAUUAAAAAUAGAACUACCCUAUGACCCAGCAAUGGCACUACUAGGUAUUUAUCCAAGGAUACAGGUGUGACGUUUCAAAGGGGCACAUGCACCCCCAUGUUUAUAGCAGUGCUAAGGACAAUAGCCAAAGUAUGGAAAGAGCCCAAAUGUCCGUGGAUGGGUGAAUGGAUAAAGAAGAUGCGGCAUAUACAUGUACAAAUA